rnacentral:lncRNA from 1 species
GGCAUAACAGGACACAGCCAUGGUGUAAGGCUGGGCAGAGCCCUCAGAGCCUUGCUCAGCCAAGAACAGGAAGCCUGAUUGCACCUGGCCCCCUAGGUCUGGCGAGAGCAGCUCCCAGAGCCUGAGACGGAACUGUUUCUGGCUGCACCUGGCCUGGCUGCCUAGAGCAGGAACAGUUCUCAAGCUGGGGCAGAGCAGAGAUGAAGAAACAAGGACCAGAGAGGAAGGGGAGAGAGGCGCCGCUCCGGCAAAGGGUAAUGCAUGGAGACGCAAUGUCACUUACACAAGAUGUUGAUGGCAUUUACUAUAUAAAAACCUUCCUCCUAGAGUAAAGAGUAUCAGCAUUACAACGCGACAGACGGCGGCGGGAUAAGUAAAACAGACAGAAGACAAACAAGAUAAUAAUCUGUUUCCGAUCACUUAAGCCCUGUGGAGUUAGUAAUAUGCGGUUUGCAUAUUCCCCCUUGAGUUCGGUUUGCGGGAGGUGGCUGAGCGCACAGCCGUCGGACCGGCUCCGCACCGGGCGCGGGAGUCCGCAGCGAGACAAAGACGGGAGCUGUCCGCGGUUCUGAACCGGCGCGCUGGGGCGGAGCGCAGGGCUCCUGGGGCCGGCGGCCUCCUCUUCCCCUCUCCCUCAUUGUGACCCCUGCCUCUCUAGGCGUUUAUUUCGCUUUUUUGGGGCCCCGCCUUAAAACCUAUGUCAGAUAGAUAUACGGCGGCUGAUUAAAAACGAUUUCUCCUUUCUCAAAGAAAUGGUGCAGUAGAGGUUUAUUUUAACUGUGUGCUGUAAUAGACACGUGUAGCUCUUUCCACCCCUAAGGAAGUAGGGGUUCGUGUUUAAGAAUAGUAGAAUUAACCCUACCGAAUACCAUUAAUCUGCCCUGUGGUUUAUUCUGAUGAAGAAGGCAGGGGUUUCGUUUUGAAAUUUUUGUUUUGGGCGGUCAAAUCCCUGCCACUUUAACCCCUUCCAUAGAAAAACGCAUAAGAGCUGGGGAG